AAAAUAAUAGUUUAAAAAAAAUUUUUAAUUUGCAUUUAAAAGAUAUUAAUAAUUUAUUUUA
rnacentral:tRNA from 1 species